UGUAAUUGUCAAUAUAAGUCAGGGUAGAGUCGGCAGCGAGAGUGAGGUAUCAUUGGCGUCUGCCCUAGAGAUGUUGACCGUGGCUGAAGUCACCCUCUUUUUACAUAUGAAAAUCAGAGAAUCUGAUGUUCAUGGUGUAAUUGUUGUAAGGAUGUUAAUUAUGAAAUUAAUUAACCUGAAGGGAACUGUCAGACCAAGUAUCUUUCAGAAUCUACUGGGUGUAAUCGACAGCUCAGGCAGAGCUGUUGGGUGAGUGGAACUCGAAGCUGAUCGAGGGAGGAGUAGUGCGGGGCACUGACGCUCUCAGGCAUCAGUCCAGCGUCUGAAACUCCUCCACGCACAGGUUCCUCUUGGCCAAGAGCCUUGUAGAUUGGGACGACCUCCACACUAAUUUGGGAGAUGGAUGAAGGCCAGUGAACUCGGGUAAAUUCGUGAACACGAGCGUCAGGAACUAACCACCUCCUCUGGGAUCCAGUCAACUGGUCAGCCGUUCAAUGUCCAGUUUGUUGAUAUCACAGGCAGAGCAAACAGUGCCAGCCCCCUUCAUUGUUAUGGGUGAGUCCACUACUCAGUAGGGGUAUAUGGUGGCUGUGUUAUUCCUCUGAAUACACCUGUAUGUAUUCACCUGAAUUGUCUGAGUGUUUGGAGUCGGCAAGAGUAGGUUGACCAUCAGUUUGUGUGUGGGCAAAGGUACCAUAGUGGUGAAGAGAAGCUACUAAUUCUGGUGAUGUUAAAGUAUUAGUGUUGGUGCUGUAACUGGCAUCAUUGCCACUUGUAAUAGUGCUCAAAGGUGCUAUGUAAGAGUAUUGUGUGUGUUCUUGUACAUGUAAGUGGAAAAUGUACCUAAGUUUAACAGUACCAAAUAAGUAAAGCCAGGGAGUUGACCCCCAUCAUUCUCUCCCAUUGCUUGAUAUCAGAAUUACAGUGUACCCAUGUCAUAACCCCCGAGCCACAAUACCAAAGAUCAGAGGUUAUGGAGUAAUUAUAUGAAAUGAAAUAACUAGACAAAACUAAUGGAGAAAAUAAAUGAAGUAAGAAAUUAAGAGGAAACCAGGUUGAGUUUAAAAGUUAUCUUAUAAAUGGUUUCAGCGACUGGAUUGUAAUUUAAAAUGGUACCCAGUUGGGAGGAAGGAAUGAGCUAAUGUAGGUGUUUUUAACUGUGAUUUGUAAUAACCAUUUCUCUGUGCUGGUAUCUAAUAAACAUUUAACGGUAACUGAGUAUUUCAGAUUGCUAAUAAUUUUGUUCCAUAUUCUUCCAAGGUACAGUACAUUGCACAGUAUAUGUAAUUCUGUACUAAUUAAUUAGGGAUAUAAUUAUUUCAGUAGGUUAUGUGUGUGUUUAUGUGCUGCCUUUAUUGAUAUAUACAUUAUAUAUUCUGUUACUUCUUACCAAAGUUAGAAUGUGUUUAGGCCUGUGUAAUCACGAAUGUGUUAGGCACAUGGUACAUAACAAUAAACGACUGGAGUAAGACUUGG
rnacentral:lncRNA from 1 species